rnacentral:rRNA from 1 species
ACUAUACAAAGGUAUUGAAAUAAGACUUUAAUUGAGUGCUAAGAGAAUGGAAUUUCAUAAAAUUUCUUUUUUAAUUUUAAAAAUUGAAAUUAAUUUUAUAUGUGAAGAAACAAUAAUAAAAAUUAAGGACAAGAAGACCCUAAGAAUUUUAAAAAUUUCAAUAUAAUAUAAUAUUAUAUUGAAAUUUUUUAAUUGGGGCGAUUAUUAAAUAUUAAAAACUUUAAUUUUUUUAAAAAAGAACCAAUAUUAUUGGUUAUUUGAGAAAAUACUCUAGGGAUAACAGCGUAAUAAUUUUUGAUAGUUCUUAUAGACAAAAUAGUUUGCGACCUCGAUGUUGGAUUAGGAUUCUUUCUUAAUGAAGAAGUUUAAAAAAGAAGUGUGUUCAACUUUUAAAAUCCUACUUGAUCUGAGUUCAG